AACCUAUGCAUCAGACACUUAUACAACAAUUCUUUGAAACUUUCUCAAGCUUCAUAAAGAUUUUCACCCUUCAAUUGCUUAAAUGAUGUGAGACCAUUCCUUAGCUU